rnacentral:tRNA from 1 species
GGAGGGAUGCCGGAGCGGUUUAACGGAACAGUUUGGAGAACUGUGGCCAGAAAUGGUCUCGUGAGUUCGAAUCUCACUCCCUCCG